rnacentral:lncRNA from 1 species
AUCUCGCGUUGAUCUGGGUCAUCCAUCGCAAUCGAUCUCGUUCGUUUGACCGCAGUUAAAGAAGAAAUGAAUCUGAAUCAUUCAUGCGAUUGAUCUCGACCGUCCGAUCAUGCCUAAGGGAGAAAUGAAUCUGGACCUUCCACGCGUGCGGGAUCAAUCUUGGGUCGUCCGAUCACAGGGCACAUGGAUUGCCAGUGUGGUCUCACGCCUUGCCACACGACGUGCUCCAGUUCGUCAAGGCUGCUGACUAGGCAGUCCUACGUGAUCAAACUUUUUUUAUUUGUACUUUGACCCCCUGUUUCUGAUUUUUCUUUUAAAAACAUCCUCAUAACCCAAAUUUUCACUAUUUUUUCCCAAAAUUAUUUUCAAUCUCAUCCU